rnacentral:rRNA from 1 species
UACGUAGGGUGCGAGCGUUAAUCGGAAUUACUGGGCGUAAAGCGUGCGCAGGCGGCUCUAUAAGACAGAUGUGAAAUCCCCGGGCUUAACCUGGGAACUGCGUUUGUGACUGUAGGGCUUGAGUGCGGCAGAGGGGGGUGGAAUUCCACGUGUAGCAGUGAAAUGCGUAGAGAUGUGGAGGAACACCGAUGGCGAAGGCAGCCCCCUGGGUCGACACUGACGCUCAUGCACGAAAGCGUGGGGAGCAAACAGGAUUAGAUACCCUGGUAGUCCACGCCCUAAACGAUGCGAACUAGGUGUUGGGGAAGGAGACUUCUUUAGUACCGUAGCUAACGCGUGAAGUUCGCCGCCUGGGGAGUACGGUCGCAAGAUUAAA